ACACACACACACACACACACACACACACACACACACACACACACACACACAGAGGACUGUCUCAGCUGUUAUUUUCGUUAAGGAGUGUGCACGUACAGCAUGCGCGCCUCGUGCACGAGCCUACUAUUGAAGCUGACAUUACGCUUUUGGCCUGAGGGGGCGAUCGCGAGCAUAAAAAUUCAAAAGUCCGAAAAGUCCCUUUAAACCAUCACAUAUAACUGAACGUUUAUUAAUUUAGAGCUUUUCCAGUGUCAACAACUGUGAGGCAGACAUGGUGCUGAGAAAGUUGCUUUGCUAUAAGAUCCUCAACAUAAAGCCAACGCCAGUGAGGAUGAUGUAGAUAAAUAAAAACAUUAAUAUCGACGUAUAUUUGUGCUCUUUCUAUUCGUGUCUUUAUUGAAACCUGUAAUUUCACUCAACAGUCCUUUUUACAGACGUGCUUUUGGCGCUCCGUUAAUCAGUCAGAAUCAAUGCUCUCUUUUAUGAAACAUAACAUUACUAUUAUUCAGUCUACGAGCCCACAAGUACCUACGUAGUAAUUAAAUCAUACUAUUCUCAUCAGAUUGACAGGCUCGUCUCUGCUCAGGUUUACCCUCUCAGGAUGUUUUAUUGUUUUUCUCACAAACAGACUAGAAAGUUGAUCCCUGCUGCAGCAGUAAAAUCACCUCCCUUCUCCUCCUGCGUAGCCGUAGCUCAGAGUCUUGCCAAGACAUGGAGUAAUCCUAUUUUUGGCUCGUGCUUCUCAAUGAAGGCACACGCUCAGGCACAUGUAGAUGCACGUGCGUGCUGUCAGCUGGAAGGCGUCGCUGCAUGUUUUGCUUCUUCUCGCUUAUCCCCAUCACAUAAAAAUGAAGCGCUCCGUUUCUCCUCGUCUGCCACCUCUCCAUCCCACCUCGACUCUCAAAAAAAGGACACAACCUGGCAAGUGGAAAUGGCAAUUCAACCGGCUGGCGGAGGACAUGAAUCAUCAGAGGUGAGUGUCGGUCAACGCCGCUCUGAGCUCCCGCUGGGUUCGCCCUGUUUCUGCCGUCAGGUUUGGAACGUAUUUGCCUCCUUUUCUCCUCUGUGA
rnacentral:lncRNA from 1 species